rnacentral:rRNA from 1 species
CCUACGGGUGGCAGCAGUGAGGAAUAUUGGUCAAUGGACGAGAGUCUGAACCAGCCAAGUAGCGUGAAGGAUGACUGCCCUAUGGGUUGUAAACUUCUUUUAUAAAGGAAUAAAACGAGGCACGUGUGCCUUUUUGCAUGUACUUUAUGAAUAAGGAUCGGCUAACUACGUGCCAGCAGCCGCGGUAAUACGGAGGAUCCGAGCGUUAUCCGGAUUUAUUGGGUUUAAAGGGAGCGUAGAUGGGUUGUUAAGUCAGUUGUGAAAGGUUGCGGCUCAACCGUAAAAUUGCAAUUGAUACUGGCAGUCUUGAGUACAGUUGAGGUAGGCGGAAUUCGUGGUGUAGCGGUGAAAUGCUUAGAGAUCACGAAGAACCCCGAUUGCGAAGGCAGCUUACUAAACUGUGACUGACAUUGAUGCUCGAAAGUGUGGGUAUCAAACAGGAUGAGAUACCCGGGUAGUC